GAGCUGAAUAUGCGAUUACCGUCUAGCGUGAGACCUCCUGUGCAUACUUGGAAAGUUUCAAUCUGCUCACGACUACACACGAUCGAGAUGGCCGCAGCAGACUAAAAAACUGAUAUCAGUGAAAGGAAUGUCGAAUGAACUCGUAUUUAAGAACAUAAGUGACAAAAGGCGGCGAACGUUAUGAAAAUUGUGUCAAUGACAGUCCCCGCAUACAAGCCUGAUCCUGUGUUGAAAGAUGCUCCAAGCAGUAACAAGAGGAGCGUUAUCGGUCCUCCGCACUCAAAAGAGAUACGUCCGCGAAAAUCAAAUAGCGCAUUGGUUUACAAAAGCUUUUGUCACCUCUGAACAAUGGUCGCACAAUACCUUACCAAAAAUGCUUUGGUCACAACUCUUUGUUAUCUUUUACCGUGCUUUAUUUUUCCGGAUCAAAAUUGUUACUAGUUGAAUAGGAAAUGCCGCUGCUUCUUCCAAACUGUCGCUGAUCGUUUCUUAUUUAUCCUCGUCGCCACUAAUGGGUUCCGGAUCAUCGUGGGAAAUUACUAAAU